rnacentral:rRNA from 1 species
GACAGAGGUCCCGAGCGUUGUCCGGAAUCAUUGGGCGUAAAGCGCGUGUAGGCGGCUCGGUAAGUCUGCUCUGAAAGUCCAAGGCUCAACCUUGGGAUGCGGGUGGAUACUGCCGGGCUCGAGUCCGGAAGAGGCGAGUGGAAUUCCUGGUGUAGCGGUGAAAUGCGCAGAUAUCAGGAGGAACACCAAUGGCGAAGGCAGCUCGCUGGGACGUGACUGACGCUGAGACGCGAAAGCGUGGGGAGCAAACAGG